rnacentral:rRNA from 1 species
UGGGGAAUAUUGGACAAUGGGCGCAAGCCUGAUCCAGCCAUGCCGCGUGAGUGAUGAAGGGCCCUAGGGUUGUAAAGCUCUUUCAGCGAGGAGGAUAAUGACGUUACUCGCAGAAGAAGCCCCGGCUAACUUCGUGCCAGCAGCCGCGGUAAUACGAAGGGGGCUAGCGUUGUUCGGAAUCACUGGGCGUAAAGCGCACGUAGGCGGACUUUUAAGUCAGGGGUGAAAUCCCGGGGCUCAACCUCGGAACUGCCUUUGAUACUGGAAGUCUGGAGUCCGAGAGAGGUGAGUGGAACUCCGAGUGUAGAGGUGAAAUUCGUAGAUAUUCGGAAGAACACCAGUGGCGAAGGCGGCUCACUGGCUCGGUACUGACGCUGAGGUGCGGAAAAGCGUGGGGAGCAAACAGGAUUAGAGUACCCUGGUAGUCCACGCCGUAAACGAUGGAAGCUAGCCGUCAGGGUGCAUGCAUCUUGGUGGCGCAGUUAACGCAUUAAGCUUCCCGCCUGGGGAGUACGGUCGCAAGAUUAAAACUGCAAAUGAAUUGACGGGGUCAUAGCUGUUUCCU